GUAGGAGAGGAGUUGGCAAAUCCGCUUCUCAAUCUGAAGACGUGAUGCGGACCGAACUGAGAGUAGGGAAGCCCGUGAGCCAUGCGUCAAGAAAAGCCGCUAUUGUUUAUAUCAUACCCGUACCGUAAACCGACACAGGUGGAUGAGGAGAGAAUCCUAAGGCCGACGGGAGAAGCAUUGUUAAGGAACUCGGCAAAAUGACUCCGUAACUUCGGGAGAAGGAGUGCCAGUGAGAACUGGCCGCAGAGAAUUGGCCCAAGCAACUGUUUAGCAAAAACACAGGUCUAUGCAAAACCGAAAGGUGAAGUAUAUGGGCUGACGCCUGCCCGGUGCUGGAAGGUUAAGGGGAGAGGUUAGCGUAAGCGAAGCUUUGAACUUAAGCCCCAGUAAACGGCGGCCGUAACUAUAACGGUCCUAAGGUAGCGAAAUUCCUUGUCGGGUAAGUUCCGACCCGCACGAAAGGCGUAAUGAUUUGGGCACUGUCUCGACAAUGCACCCGGUGAAAUUGAAAUACCAGUGAAGAUGCUGGUUACCUGCGCCAGGACGGAAAGACCCCAUGGAGCUUUACUCCAGCUUGAUACUGGGAUUCGGUAUUGCAUGUACAGGAUAGGUGGGAGACUGAGAAGUAUUUACGCCAGUAGAUACAGAGUCGCUGUUGGGAUACCACCCUUGCAGUACUGGGUUUCUAACCAGCAGCCGUGACCCGGCUGGGGGACAAUGUCAGGUGGGGAGUUUGACUGGGGCGGUCGCCUCCGAAAGGGUAUCGGAGGCGCUCAAAGGUUCCCUCAGAAUGGUCGGAAACCAUUCAAAGAGUGCAAAGGCAGAAGGGAGCUUGACUGCGACACCGACGGGUGGAGCAGGUACGAAAGUAGGACUUAGUGAUCCGGUGGCAUAAAGUGGGAUUGCCAUCGCUCAACGGAUAAAAGCUACCCUGGGGAUAACAGGCUUAUCACUCCCAAGAGUUCACAUCGACGGAGUGGUUUGGCACCUCGAUGUCGGCUCAUCGCAUCCUGGGGCUGAAGUAGGUCCCAAGGGUUGGGCUGUUCGCCCAUUAAAGCGGUACGCGAGCUGGGUUCAGAACGUCGUGAGACAGUUCGGUCCCUAUCCGGCGUGGGCGUAGGAUAUUUGAGAGGAGCUGCCCUUAGUACGAGAGGACCGGGGUGGACUGGCCGCUGGUGUAUCUGUUGCACUGCCAAGUGCAUGGCAGAGUAGCCAAGCCGGGACGGGAUAAACGCUGAAGGCAUCUAAGCGUGAAGCCCCCCUCAAGAUGAGAUAUCCCAACGCAAGUUGUAAGACCCCUUGAAGACGACGAGGUAGAUAGGACAGAGGUGGAAGUGCAGUAAUGUAUGGAGCUGACUGUUACUAAUCGGUCGAGGGCAUAACCAA
rnacentral:rRNA from 1 species